ACUGGGGACAGGAGCUAGUUCACUAGUCCUGGUUAGAGUGCCUAAUUUUAAUGGCUAACUUGGUGGUCGUGAAGUCCGGAAGUGAACCGGGCUUUGUUCUCCCUUGUGGCCCUGCCCAGGGUUGAAAACAGGAGCAAAACAUUUGGCUGAGCUUUGCUGGGUUCAGCUCAAUCCCUCCCUUUUGCCCCUUAAUUGUUUUUCAACGAUUUCUGCACACAGGCAACGGAGCCCUGAACCUCCUGGGAGGAACUGCCUUUUUUUUUUUUAUGCGGACAGGGAUGAGUGGAGAUGCUUGAAUCGGUCUGUUCUAGCUGCAGGAAGCACAAGAUGCCUUCAGACCAUACUCUGUGCCAGAGCCUGGGGGAAGCCUCCCAGGGAGAGGGGCCCCACAGUGCCUGGAUACACCCUUGAGGAGGCCAGGCCCGCCUCGUGAAUAUGUAAGAGCCGGGUGUGGCUGGCCAACGGAAGAGGAGAGAGCCGCCGGCCCAGUCCAGUUAAGUCCCUUCAGCUUUGUCAAGCGAAGACCGGACCCAGAUUCCCUCCAAAGCCAGCGGGUGAGAAGACUGAGCCUCUUGUGAGCCUGUUUCCUGUUAUGACCUGUCUCUACACGCCGCCGCCGAGGAGCUGCGAAACAACUGCAGUGACUAAGCUUUAUAAAUAGGACAUUGAGAGUUAAAAAGUACAGGAAAUUCCCAGAGUCUCCCGCGGAGUCUUAUUUUAGGUGUGCAGCUCAGAGAAACCAGGGUCUCUCGUCCUGCAGAGGCAGUGCCUCUGCUCUACCUGAUGGGGGUGGAGGGUAGAGGGGGCUCUCUGGGUCCCUGCAGAGGGACGUGCCCAGCAUUUCUCUCUUGCCUUACUAGCUCUUACUGGCUCCCAGGAAGGAAGCACGUUUGUAAUUAGCACUUUGUGGAUUCACACCCAUGUCUGACUCACUCCUGAUCAAGAGAUUAAUCAUAUACUCAGGUCCCGCUGAACACAGAGUAAGCAUGUAACCAGACCAUAGGAGGUAGAGAGAGCCCUCUGAGUGACAGCACGGUGCCCUGGAAGUUUGAAUUAUCUUUCCCCUCCUCUCACAUUAUUGGAGCCGUGUUUUCUGGAAAACCAGUCCAGUUUGGAAUUAGUUGCUCAGUGGUCCCUGCUACCGCAGGGAUUGGCUUAUAGCACCGGCGGGAAGAGCUUCUGGCGGCAAAGGGGUUGCAGGCUCUGAGCUGAAGGGCUCAGCUUCUCGUGGGUUUCAGAUAGAAAGGCUGUUCAAAUAUUUGCCCAACAACUCCCAGUGUGCUUUGGAACAAGCCGCAGGAGGAGCCCUCGCUGAGUCACAGGAAGUGCAGGCAUUCGACAGAAAGGUGGAUGCGAGCAGGUUUACCAACUCUGGCUUCUCUGCUCUCACAAUUAGCCAGGCUGCCUCUCACCAGUGGCCUGGUGGCACCAGAGAACUCUGCUGAUAGGCAGCUCGAUGUGGUGGCACCUUAUGCAUUUUUCCCCCAAGGAACAUUAGGAGGCACACUCCAGUAGCUGAGUCUGCCCACGGUUUUCUGACCUGCAGAAUUGUAUCCUCAGCGAUCAGUGUGAGAUUUCUUCCACUGUUAAGUCCCCGAAGCAUCUAAAUCCAUCAAGUUCAAAACAGAACUCCCACACUGGCUGGAUUCUAGCCUUCGCCCCAUCAGUGAAUGGACCCACCUCCUCCUACACGCUCUGUAUGAAAACGUUGGUGCAUCUACGAAUCUGCAGCUGCUGCUCACCUGACCCUCCCUGGCUAAAACUGCCUAUCCCUGCUGCUGACCCAGGAGGCUCCCAAAUCUACCUUUGCCUGCCAAAAGAAUGGCACUGCCCCAAACAGGAACUGACCCAUCAACUAGGGUUCCAGAGUGAGAACACCCUAGAACACUGCCAGAGCCACAGAGAGCCCGUAAGGGAAACAGAUUGCAAACAGUAUGUUGAGCCACUGAGGCCUGGGCUCGUAUGUUACUGCAGCAAAACCCUGCCUGUCCUGACUGCUAUGAGGAUCAAGUUCUGGCUUCUCAGAUAAAUGGAAGAGAAAAAUGGAGGUGAUUGUGAUAGUGUGAAACAGAGAUAGGAAUCGACAUGCCAGAAAAGAGAGCCUGGAGACAGAGUGGCAAGAGAGGCUCGGGGUUGGGGAUUUAGCUCAGUGGUAGAGCGCUUGCCUAGCGAGCACAAGGCCCUGGGUUCGGUCCCCAGCUCUGAAAAAAAAAAAAAAAAGAAGAAGAAGAAGAAAAAAAAGAGAGGCUCUAGCAGGAGCUACCUUUCAAGAGACAUUUUAUGCCCUGGGUUUCAGGAACAGGUUGCACAUGACUUUGUUUGGGUUGCCAUAGAAAUCACUAAAGACCAAGUAAUUUAAGCCGCAGACAUUUAUUUUCUAACAGGUUUGGACAGUCUAAGAUCAAUGUGCCAGAGAGUUUGUUUAUAUUGCACCCUGUCCUCUUUCCGAAUUACAUACAGCCACGUGAGAGCUCAGCCUGGCCUGCCCACUCUGCCAGACAGGACAGCACAGCUGGGCAGACCAAUUCUCUCUAGGGCCUUCCAGCUCAGUGGAGUUGAGGAAUGAAGAGUAGAGAGGAGAGGGAGGUUCCAGAGGCAUCAUGAUUGAUGUGUGGCUCAUGUGUCCUUUUCUUUUGAAAGAGAAAAAGGCCUCUGCAUUAGAGCAGGGUAGAGAGCUGUUUAAAGGGAAUAGUAGGAACAGCAGGAGUUGGAGAGACAAGAAGGAAAGAGAAUUCGCUAAUACACUCAUUGUUCCAAAAUACCACAAUAAUAACUUGUAAGUGACUUGUAGUUUGGAUCGAUAUGACCCCCAUAGACUUUCAUUUGAAUGCUUGUCCACAGGAAGUGGCACUAUUAGGAGGUGUGGCCUUAUUGGAGAAAGUGUGUCACUCAUGGGCUGGCUUUGAGGUCAUAUAUGCACAAGCUACACCCAGUGUGAUACACGUACACGGUCUCUCCCUACUGCCUUCGAUUUAAAAUGUACAACUCUUGGCUGAGUCUCCAGGUCCAGCAUCACCUUCGUCUGUCUGGAUGCUACCAUGCUCUCUGCCAUGAUGAUAAUGCACUAAACCUCUGAAACGGUGAGCCAGCCCCAAUUAGAUGUUUCCCUUCAUAAGAGUUGCCAUGGUAAUGGUGUCUCUUCAUAUCAAUAAAACCCAAAUUAAGACAGGAGUUAAAAUAUUUGAAUAUAUAUAUAAUUUAUAUAUAUAUAUAAACAUUAUAUAUGGCAUAUAAUAAAUAUAAUAAAUAAACAUACAUAUACAAAAGA